rnacentral:rRNA from 1 species
GAUGAACGCUGGCGGCGUGCCUAAUACAUGCAAGUCGAGCGAACAGACGAGGAGCUUGCUCCUCUGACGUUAGCGGCGGACGGGUGAGUAACACGUGGAUAACCUACCUAUAAGACUGGGAUAACUUCGGGAAACCGGAGCUAAUACCGGAUAAUAUAUUGAACCGCAUGGUUCAAUAGUGAAAGACGGUUUUGCUGUCACUUAUAGAUGGAUCCGCGCCGCAUUAGCUAGUUGGUAAGGUAACGGCUUACCAAGGCAACGAUGCGUAGCCGACCUGAGCGGGUGAUCGCCCACACUGGAACUGAGACACGGUCCAGACUCCUACGGGAGGCAGCAGUAGGGAAUCUUCCGCAAUGGGCGAAAGCCUGACGGAGCAACGCCGCGUGAGUGAUGAAGGUCUUCGAAUCGUAAAACUCUGUUAUUAGGGAAGAACAAAUGUGUAAGUAACUAUGCACGUCUUGACGGUACCUAAUCAGAAAGCCACGGCUAACUACGUG